rnacentral:rRNA from 1 species
AUUGAACGCUGGCGGCAUGCCUUACACAUGCAAGUCGAACGGCAGCACGGGAGCAAUCCUGGUGGCGAGUGGCGAACGGGUGAGUAAUAUAUCGGAACGUGCCCAGUCGUGGGGAUAACGUAGCGAAAGCUACGCUAAUACCGCAUACGAUCUAUGGAUGAAAGCGGGGGAUCGCAAGACCUCGCGCGAUUGGAGCGGCCGAUAUCAGAUUAGGUAGUUGGUGAGGUAAAGGCUCACCAAGCCGACGAUCUGUAGCUGGUCUGAGAGGACGACCAGCCACACUGGGACUGAGACACGGCCCAGACUCCUACGGGAGGCAGCAGUGGGGAAUUUUGGACAAUGGACGCAAGUCUGAUCCAGCCAUUCCGCGUGCAGGAUGAAGGCCCUCGGGUUGUAAACUGCUUUUGUACGGAACGAAAAGGUUUCUCUUAAUACGAGGAGCUCAUGACGGUACCGUAAGAAUAAGCACCGGCUAACUACGUGCCAG